rnacentral:rRNA from 1 species
UACGUAGGGAGCAAGCGUUGUCCGGAUUUACUGGGUGUAAAGGGUGCGUAGGCGGCUUAGCAAGUCAGAAGUGAAAUCCAUGGGCUUAACCCAUGAACUGCUUUUGAAACUGCUAAGCUUGAGUGGAGUAGAGGUAGGCGGAAUUCCCGGUGUAGCGGUGAAAUGCGUAGAGAUCGGGAGGAACACCGGUGGCGAAGGCGGCCACCUGGACGACAACUGACGCUGAGGUGCGAAAGCGUGGGUAGCAAACAGG